UCGUCCUACGGGGGGCAGCAGUGGGGGAUAUUGCACAAUGGGGGGAACCCUGAUGCAGCGACGCCGCGUGGGUGAAGGAGUAUUUCGGUAUGUAAAGCCCUAUCGGCAGGGGAGAAGAAAGACGGUACCUGACUAAGAAGCCCCGGCUAACUACGUGCCAGCAGCCGCGGUAAUACGUAGGGGGCGAGCGUUAUCCGGAUUCACUGGGUGUAAAGGGAGCGUAGACGGCCAAGCAAGCCAGGGGUGAAAGCCCGGGGCCCAACCCCGGGACUGCUCUUGGGACUG
rnacentral:rRNA from 1 species